CAGAUAUAACACCUUGUUUUAGUGAACAAAGGUAUAAGAUGGAAGAGAAGAGAGAAGAACAUGACAGUCAAGAGAAGAAAGAGAGAAAUGAGACACAUCGGAGGCGGAGAGGAUGCCUUUCUGUUGUGUCACUGGUUGGAGAAGUGAUGGUGUUGGCGGUGUUCGACCCACAUCCUCUUUCUAAGCCAAACUGACAAAAAAGAGAUGAGAUGGAGGCGUCGAGCAGACAGAUAGAAAAUAGGACAAGGGAGUCGCGUCUAACAUCAAUGAUGGUGGUGCCGGCGAUGCUUGUAUACCGGAGACGAGGAUGUCGAGUAUAAAAAAAGUAUUAAUUGUUAUAGGGUUGAUAAUGAAAAUAACAUUGGAGCCAAAGACAUUAAAUAGUUAAAUUAAUGAAAUUUAUAGCCCUUGCUAGCUAAAGAACUGGAGAGUUAGAAUAAAAUGGAAUCAAUAGCCCAUGUCAACGGGGUAAGCCUCUCUCUUUCAAAAUUAUUCGUUCAUAUUCAAUUUUUGUCUAUGUUACACGGACGAUUCAAAUCUGACACCCUCUCCUAACCAAAUUAGUGUUUUUUUCCAUGUUCCUCUCGUUUUAUUUGGAUUUUUCCAGUUAUUGCUUCUCUUAAUGCUUGCACAUUUUGUAUUUUACGUGUGUUAUCCCAGUAAAUGUUUGUGGAUCUGGAGAUUUGUUCUUCCAUGUUCCAAAAAGUCUAUGCUUUUGUUGGAUGCUUCAGCCUUGCUUUUUAGAUUCAUUUGUUUUUUGUGCUGCAUUUCUCUGGACUUUUAUUUUGGCGUUUCGGGAAUCCAGUUCGAGCUCAAACAGGUGGUCAGCCCACAACUUGUAGACUCCUUGAAUUAGCCGGUGCUCCUGCUUUUAUAUGCGUUGUUCUUGCUGCGUCGUUUAAUCCAGAACAUCAUCUUACAUAAACCAUCCAGAUCGUUUGGACCCUUAGCAGCUACAACAAACUCAGCCCCUAAACUGAUGUUGCCAUCAACCUCCAAACAUCCUGACACCAACAUUCUUUACAGCUGUGUCGUCUACCACAUAGACUCAUAUACCUAGAACUAAGAGGAAGCUAGACUUUGAAUGCACUGUUUCAAGCAGAUGUCCAGGUCUGACCUUCACACAUAAAUGUCUUUUCGUUCCUAUAUAAUGCUUUGAGUGUUCUUUCCUUUGUAUGGUGUGUUAAUAAUUC